CGACCGGCGCACGGGUGAGUAACACGUAUCCACCUUCCGGUAACUCCGGUAUAGCCUUUCGAAAGAAAGAUUAAUCCCGGAUAGUAUGGUGAUUCCGCAUGGUUUUUCCAUUAAAGGAUUCCGGUUACCGAUGGGGAUGCGUUCCAUUAGGCAGUUGGCGGGGUAACGGCCCACCAAACCUACGAUGGAUAGGGGUUCUGAGAGGAAGGUCCCCCACAUUGGAACUGAGACACGGUCCAAACUCCUACGGGAGGCAGCAGUGAGGAAUAUUGGUCAAUGGGCGGAAGCCUGAACCAGCCAAGUAGCGUGAAGGAUGACUGCCCUAUGGGUUGUAAACUUCUUUUAUAAGGGAAUAAUUGCGGGUACGCGUACCCGUUUGCAUGUACCUUAUGAAUAAGGAUCGGCUAACUCCGUGCCAGCAGCCGCGGUAAUACGGAGGAUCCGAGCGUUAUCCGGAUUUAUUGGGUUUAAAGGGAGCGUAGGCGGGCGCUUAAGUCAGCUGUGAAAGUUUGGGGCUCAACCUUAAAAUUGCAGUUGAUACUGGGUGCCUUGAGUGCAGUAUAGGCAGGCGGAAUUCGUGGUGUAGCGGUGAAAUGCUUAGAUAUCACGAAGAACUCCUAUUGCGAAGGCAGCUUGCUGGAGUGUAACUGACGCUGAUGCUCNGAAGUGUGGGUAUCAAACAGGAUUAAAUACCCUGGUAGUCCACACAGUAAACGAUGAAUACUCGCUGUUUGCGAUAUACUGCAAGCGGCCAAGCGAAAGCGUUAAGUAUUCCACCUGGGGAGUACGCC
rnacentral:rRNA from 1 species